UACGGAGGGGGCUAGCGUUGUUCGGAAUUACUGGGCGUAAAGCGCACGUAGGCGGCUUUGUAAGUUAGAGGUGAAAAGCCCAGAGCUCAACUCUGGAACUGCCUUUAAGACUGCAUCGCUUGAAUCAUGGAGAGGUUAGUGGAAUUCCGAGUGUAGAGGUGAAAUUCGUAGAUAUUCGGAAGAACACCAGUGGCGAAGGCGACUAACUGGACAUGUAUGACGCUGAGGUGCGAAAGCGUGGGGAGCAAACAGG
rnacentral:rRNA from 1 species